rnacentral:rRNA from 1 species
UAUUUCGGACGUCGCGACCCGUUUGGUGUCGGUUUGAGGAGACGCGUGAAAGUUCGUUAGCGCGUCGGAGCUUCGGUUUCGGCGCGUCGGCGAGUACGCGUUCUAUUUCUAGCCGACUCGCCAGACGGUACGUAAUGGUGAUCGCGGCGGCCUCAGCGUCGCCGCUCGACGCCUGUCUGCGACGAAUCUUCGAGUCUCUUUCCGACCCGUCUUGAAACACGGACCAAGGAGUCUAACGUGCGCGCGAGUCGCGGGGUAUCGAACGGUCGGUGUUCGCAUCGGCCGUUCGUUAUAAUACGAAACCCGUCUCGUUUUACGAAAGGCGCAAUGAAAGUGAAUUUUGGGGAAGAUGACGUUACCGAGUUCACGUUCCGUACUCUCGUAGUGCGGCCGGUCGUCCGCAUUCCCAGGGUGUCUCAAAGUCCGAUUCUAUUGCGGACUGCCGCCUCUUCGGGGACGGUAGUCGGAUUCUAUCGAGCUGAGGCGCACCUAUAGCGUGCACGUUGGUACCCGAAAGAUGGUGAACUAUGCCCGGCCAGGAUGAAGUCAGGGGAAACCCUGA